rnacentral:rRNA from 1 species
GACGAACGCUGGCGGCGUGCUUAACACAUGCAAGUCGAACGAUGAAGCCGGAGCUUGCUCUGGUGAAUUAGUGGCGAACGGGUGAGUAACACGUGAGUAACCUGCCCUUGACUCUGGGAUAACUGCUAGAAAUGGUAGCUAAUACCGGAUACGACCCUCGGCGGCAUCGCCAGGGGGUGGAAAGAAUUUCGGUCAAGGAUGGACUCGCGGCCUAUCAGCUAGUUGGUGAGGCAACGGCUCACCAAGGCGACGACGGGUAGCCGGCCUGAGAGGGUGACCGGCCACACUGGGACUGCGACACGGCCCAGACUCCUACGGGAGGCAGCAGUGGGGAAUAUUGCACAAUGGGCGCAAGCCUGAUGCAGCAACGCCGCGUGAGGGAUGACGGCCUUCGGGUUGUAGACCUCUUUUAGUAGGGAAGAAGCGAAAGUGACGGUACCUGCAGAAAAAGCACCGGCUAACUACGUGCCAGCCGCCGCGGUAA